rnacentral:rRNA from 1 species
CGGCGGACGGGUGAGUAACACGUGGGUAACCUACCUAUAAGACUGGGACAACUUCGGGAAACCGGAGCUAAUACCGGAUAAGAUAUCGAACCGCAUGGUUCGAUAGUGAAAGAUGGUUCUGCUAUCACUUAUAGAUGGACCCGCGCCGUAUUAGCUAGUUGGUGAGGUAACGGCUCACCAAGGCAACGAUACGUAGCCGACCUGAGAGGGUGAUCGGCCACACUGGAACUGAGACACGGUCCAGACUCCUACGGGAGGCAGCAGCC